rnacentral:rRNA from 1 species
UACGGGGGGAGCAAGCGUUGUUCGGAUUACUGGCGUAAAGGGCGCGUAGGCGGUCAGCACAAGUCAGUUGUGAAAUCUCCGGGCUUAACUCGGAAAGGUCAACUGAUACUGUGCGACUAGAGUGCGGAAGGGGCAACUGGAAUUCUCGGUGUAGCGGUGAAAAUGCGUAGAUAUCGAGAGGAACACCUGCGGCGAAGGCGGGUGCUGGGCCGACACUGACGCUGAUGCGCGAAAGCCAGGGAGGCGAACGGG